UACGUAGGGGGCAAGCGUUGUCCGGAAUUAUUGGGCGUAAAGCGUGCGCAGGCGGUUUGUUAAGUCUGUUGUGAAAUCCCCGAGCUCAACUUGGGAAUUGCAAUGGAUACUGGCAGGCUGGAGUAUGGUAGAGGAAGGUGGAAUUCCCGGUGUAGCAGUGAAAUGCGUAGAGAUCGGGAGGAACACCAGUGGCGAAGGCGGCCUUCUGGACCAAUACUGACGCUCAUGCACGAAAGCGUGGGGAGCAAACAGG
rnacentral:rRNA from 1 species